CCUACGGGAGGCAGCAGUGAGGAAUAUUGGUCAAUGGUCGCGAGACUGAACCAGCCAAGCCGCGUGCGGGAGGAAGGUACAGUGUAUUGUAAACCUCUUUUGUCAGGGGACAAACGCGGGGACGUGUCUCCGGAUGAGUGUACCUUACGAAUAAGCAUCGGCUAACUCCGUGCCAGCAGCCGCGGUAAUACGGAGGAUGCGAGCGUUAUCCGGAUUUAUUGGGUUUAAAGGGUGCGCAGGGGGUCUGUUAAGUUAGGGGUCAAAGCCCGGGGCUCAACCCGGGAGCGCCGUUGAAACUGGCCGUCUAGAGUUGGAGAGAGGUAUGCGGAAGGCGCGGUGUAGCGGUGAAAGGCAUAGAUAUC
rnacentral:rRNA from 1 species